CGCGUAGGCGGGUCGUUUAGUUAGAGGUGAAAGCCCAGGGCUCAACCCUGGAAUUGCCUUUAAUACUGGCGGCCUUGAGUAUGGCAGAGGUGUGUGGAACUCCGAGUGUAGAGGUGAAAUUCGUAGAUAUUCGGAAGAACACCAGUGGCGAAGGCGACACACUGGGCCAUUACUGACGCUGAGGCGCGAAAGCGUGGGGAGCAAACAGAAUUAGAUACCCUGGUAGUCCACGCUGUAAACGAUGAGUGCUAGUUGUCGGUAUGCAUGCAUAUCGGUGACGCAGCUAACGCAUUAAGCACUCCGCCUGGGGAGUACGGUCGCAAGAUUAAA
rnacentral:rRNA from 1 species